UCAGGACGAACGCUGGCGGCGUGCUUAACACAUGCAAGUCGAACGAUGAACUUCCAGCUUGCUGGGGGGGAUUAGUGGCGAACGGGUGAGUAACACGUGAGUAACCUGCCCUGGACUCUGGGAUAACCCCGAGAAAUCGGAGCUAAUACCGGAUAGGACCUUCUCUCGCAUGGGGGUUGGUGGAAAGUUUUUUCGGUUUGGGAUGGACUCGCGGCCUAUCAGCUUGUUGGUGAGGUAAUGGCUCACCAAGGCGUCGACGGGUAGCCGGCCUGAGAGGGUGACCGGCCACACUGGGACUGAGACACGGCCCAGACUCCUACGGGAGGCAGCAGUGGGGAAUAUUGCACAAUGGGCGCAAGCCUGAUGCAGCAACGCCGCGUGCGGGAUGACGGCCUUCGGGUUGUAAACCGCUUUUAGUAGGGAAGAAGCCUUUCGGGGUGACGGUACCUGCAGAAAAAGGACCGGCUAACUACGUGCCAGCAGCCGCGGUAAUACGUAGGGUCCGAGCGUUGUCCGGAAUUAUUGGGCGUAAAGAGCUCGUAGGCGGUUUGUCGCGUCUGCUGUGAAAUCCCGGGGCUCAACUCCGGGCCUGCAGUGGGUACGGGCAGACUUGAGUGGUGUAGGGGAGACUGGAAUUCCUGGUGUAGCGGUGGAAUGCGCAGAUAUCAGGAGGAACACCGAUGGCGAAGGCAGGUCUCUGGGCACUUACUGAC
rnacentral:rRNA from 1 species